GUCUCUCUCUGUCCCUGUCUCUCUCUGUCCGUCCCUGCAGCUGCAGAACGACAGUUCAGUGAAGCGAGUGGACGUGGACCAAGGUUUCAUCAACAUCUACCUGGAUGAGCUGAAGAAGGAUGUGACACAGAUGUACAGUGUGACUCUAGAGGAGGAUCAGCAGAUCAGGAACCUGAAACCAGCUGUGGUUAAAGUCUACGACUACUACCAGACCAGUGAUCGAGCCGUUACUGAGUACUCAUCCCCCUGUGCUGAGAGUGACAGCGCUAACAAGGUGUGAAUGGACUGUGGAGGAUGGGAUCGUCCUGCUCUUCAGAGGAAUCUGUGUUAUAAACAUGUUUGAAGCUGUUUCUGUCAGGUUGUGUUCAGGUUUAAUGUUAAUGUGAAACUUUUUCUUUUAACUUUUGGGUUAUUUUUGUUUAACUUGUUUACAUGUUGACAGUAGUUCUGCUCAGCACUGUAACUUUU